rnacentral:rRNA from 1 species
UUAAAUUGAAGAGUUUGAUCAUGGCUCAGAUUGAACGCUGGCGGCAGGCCUAACACAUGCAAGUCGAACGGUAACAGAAAGCAGCUUGCUGCUUUGCUGACGAGUGGCGGACGGGUGAGUAAUGUCUGGGAAACUGCCUGAUGGAGGGGGAUAACUACUGGAAACGGUAGCUAAUACCGCAUAACGUCGCAAGACCAAAGAGGGGGACCUUCGGGCCUCUUGCCAUCGGAUGUGCCCAGAUGGGAUUAGCUAGUAGGUGGGGUAACGGCUCACCUAGGCGACGAUCCCUAGCUGGUCUGAGAGGAUGACCAGCCACACUGGAACUGAGACACGGUCCAGACUCCUACGGGAGGCAGCAGUGGGGAAUAUUGCACAAUGGGCGCAAGCCUGAUGCAGCCAUGCCGCGUGUAUGAAGAAGGCCUUCGGGUUGUAAAGUACUUUCAGCGGGGAGGAAGGGAGUAAAGUUAAUACCUUUGCUCAUUGACGUUACCCGCAGAAGAAGCACC